rnacentral:rRNA from 1 species
AAAUACUCCUGACUGACCGAUAGUGAACCAGUACCGUGAGGGAAAGGCGAAAAGAACCCCGGCGAGGGGAGUGAAAAAGAACCUGAAACCGUGUACGUACAAGCAGUGGGAGCCCCACCACCAAAGCGUUUCGCUUUGUGUGGUGCACAAAGAAGCGUAACGACAGCACUGAAUGACGGUUAACGGAGCGCAAGCGACGUUCAACAUACAAAGUCAAGCAGUGGAGCGCUUUGGGGUGGGGUGACUGCGUACCUUUUGUAUAAUGGGUCAGCGACUUAUAUUCUGUAGCAAGGUUAACCGAAUAGGGGAGCCGGAGGGAAACCGAGUCUUAA